CCGUGCUAAGCGGGGAGGUAGCGGUGCCCUGUACUCGCAAUCCGCUCUAGCGAGGCCGAAUCCCUUCCAGAGGUUAGUAUAUUUUAGGGUCUGACUCAAGUAAGUGGUGUUGACGUCUGGGUCCUGCGCAAUGGGAAUCUGUGAACCCUGUCAGGUCCGGAAGGAAGCAGCAGUAAGCAGAAGCUCUCAUGUGCCGCAGGGCAGCCUGGACCGAGCUAACUGCUUGAGUAACGCCUAGGGUUGCUAAUCGAAGGAAGGUGCACGG
rnacentral:SRP_RNA from 1 species